GCCCCUGUGGUCCAACGGACACGACUCCGCUCUCCGAAGGCGGCAAUGCAGGUUCGACUCCUGCUGGGGGCA
rnacentral:tRNA from 1 species